AUGGCGCGGCGUCACCCCGCCGCCACCUCGGCCAAGCGCCGCGCCGCCCCUCCGAACCCUAGCCCGCCCCCUCCGCCCGCCGACGGAUCGCUUCCGCUCCUCCACGCGGCGAGCUGCGGCGACCUGCGCCUCUUCAAGAGUACGUGGGCGAUUCCGGGCGGGUUUUGUUUGGAUCUGGGAGGCACUGACUCUCCCGUUCGUCGCGUCGCAGGGCUGGUGAGAGAUCUGGAUCAGGGCAGGGGCCGUCCCAGGGAGGUGGUGGAGGCGGCCAAGGACCAAGGUCUCGUGGCGCUGCACUUCGCUGCCGGGAAGGGAAGGCCACGGGUGUGCAGGUACCUGGUCGAUGAGCUAGGGGUCGAUGUGGACGCCGUCGACAAUGGAGAAUUGGGCUAUAGGAAACUGUAUGUUGACCAGCACCAGUUUAUUUUUCAAAAUAAACCGGGGAUUCCGCCAUGCCCCGCGUCAAGUCCGGCUCUAGCGGCUGCUUGUUCUACCGGAGGAAGCACUCAUGGCGCUGCGAUGAGUUAG
rnacentral:rRNA from 1 species